AUGGAGGGUGGCGGCGGAUGGGGUGAUCAGGCCGGGAAGGAUGGCGGAGGCGAGAGCACCAAGUACCGCGGGGUGCGCCGCCGCCCGUCCGGCAAGUUCGCGGCGGAGAUCCGCGACUCCAGCCGGCAGAGCGUCCGCAAAUGGCUUGGCACCUUCGACACAGCCGAGGAGGCCGCACGGGCCUACGACCGCUCGGCCUACGCCAUGCGCGGCCACCUGGCCGUGCUCAACUUCCCCGCCGAGGCGCGCAACUACGUCCGGGGUGGGUCGUCGUCGUCCCAGCAACAGGUGAUUGAGCUCGAGUGCCUGGAUGAUGCGGUGCUGCAGGACAUGCUCAGGGACGGGGGUGGUGGAAGGAAUAAUUAA
rnacentral:rRNA from 1 species